rfam:Schistosoma mattheei strain Denwood, Zambia genome assembly, scaffold: SMTD_scaffold0004309
AUCCGACUGACGAGUCUCAAACAGGACGAAACUCGAGUUUUGAAU